UCAUAAGGUAGAAUAAUCCUUACCUGUUCUUCCAUUCAGAGGUCAGAUGGAACAUGAUGAUUGGAGUUCAAAUGAUUCCUGAUUAACGACUCUGCAUGAUUAGGGCUUGCAGCACCCUAAUUGCUCCUUGAUGAU